AUAUCAAACAAUCAAAUUCUGUUGGAAAAUGUUGUUCAUCAUAACCGAAGACUCCCGUAAGGUGUCAGAUGCACAAACACAAGAUCCCAAGAGUAAAGCUUGCUUAUUAAGAUGUUUUUUUGACAUACACGUCGUUUGAAGAUUUUGCAUAUUCAUCCAUAUCGAUUGGAAGAGAAUUUAUUUACUUAGAAGAGGAGUUAGUUAAUAUCGAGUUAGUUAGUCUUUUGUUUAGUUAGGAAGUUUGUUAAGAAUUGCUAAUAAAGCAUAUUUUCUCAUUUGUAUAUAACAAUUUCAAUUCUUAAUGUUAAUUAAUAAAUUAUUAAGAGUUCAUUUCAUGA